rnacentral:rRNA from 1 species
GAUGAACGCUGGCGGCGUGCCUAAUACAUGCAAGUCGAGCGAACAGAUGAGGAGCUUGCUCCUCUGACGUUAGCGGCGGACGGGUGAGUAACACGUGGAUAACCUACCUAUAAGACUGGGAUAACUUCGGGAAACCGGAGCUAAUACCGGAUAAUAUAUUGAACCGCAUGGUUCAAUAGUGAAAGACGGUUUUGCUGUCACUUAUAGAUGGAUCCGCGCCGCAUUAGCUAGUUGGUAAGGUAACGGCUUACCAAGGCAACGAUGCGUAGCCGACCUGAGAGGGUGAUCGGCCACACUGGAACUGAGACACGGUCCAGACUCCUACGGGAGGCAGCAGUAGGGAAUCUUCCGCAAUGGGCGAAAGCCUGACGGAGCAACGCCGCGUGAGUGAUGAAGGUCUUCGGAUCGUAAAACUAUGUUAUUAGGGAAGAACAAAUGUGUAAGUAACUAUGCACGUCUUGACGGUACCUAAUCAGAAAGCCACGGCUAACUACGU